AAUGAACGCUGGCGGCAUGCCUUACACAUGCAAGUCGAACGGCAACAGGACCUAGGUUGCUGACGAGUGGCGAACGGGCGAAUAAUAGAUUGAUACGUGCCCACACGCGGGGUAUAACGGGGCGACAUCUCUGCUGAUACCCCAUUCCCUCAUAUUCUGUGAGCAGGAGAGCGCAAGGCCUUGUGCGCUUGCACCGGACGAUGGCGGAUUAGCUAGUUGGUGGGUUAAAGGCUUACCAAGCCGACGAUCCGUAGCUGGUCUGAGAGGAUGAGCAGCCACACUGGGACUGAGACACGGCCCAGACUCCUACGGGAGGCAGCAGUGGGGAAUUUUGGACAAUGGGCGAAAGCCUGAUCCAGCAAUGCCGCGUGAAUGAUGAAGGCCUUCGGGUUGUAAAGUGCUUUUGUACGGAACGAAAAGGCUCUGGCUAAUACAGGGGGCAGAUGACGGUACCGGAAGAAGAAGCACCGGCUAACUACGUG
rnacentral:rRNA from 1 species